rnacentral:rRNA from 1 species
GACCAAAUGUUCGAGUUAUAUAUUUAGGUUAAAAGGCGGUUAAAUACAGUACUUUAAAUUAUAGAAUCUUACAUAUAAAAGUAAAAUUUGAAUAUGUAAAGAAAUUCUCUUUAUAGUUGAUUUUUAAGUUGAAUCCGCGAAAAUUUUGAGGGAAACUGGGAUUAGAUACCCCAUUAUUCUUAAAAAUAAAUAGAUAUUAUAGUGUCUACCUGAGUACUAUGAAUAUUUAAUAAAUUUAAAACUCAAAGGGCUUGGCGGUGUUUUAGACUCUUUAGGGGAACCUGUCUCGUAAUCGACAAUCCACGCUAAACCUAACCUUAGUUUGCAAUAUCAGUAUGUAUACCGUCGUCGGCAGGUAACUUUUAAGAAAAUAAUAGUUAGCAGGAAAAUAAUGAUAUAUUAGGACGUCAGAUCAAGGUGCAGCUUAUACUGGGGAGAGGAUGGGUUACAAUUAAUAAUUAUAAUUACGGAUAAAAAAAUGAAACUUUUUUUGAAGGAGGACUUAAAAGUAAAUAUAUAAAUAAAUAAAUUUAUUGAAUAUAGCUCUGGAACGUGC